rnacentral:rRNA from 1 species
GUGGGGAAUAUUGGACAAUGGGCGCAAGCCUGAUCCAGCCAUGCCGCGUGAGUGAUGAAGGCCUUAGGGUUGAAAAGCUCUUUCAGUGGGGACGAUAAUGACGGUACCCACAGAAGAAGCCCCGGCUAACUUCGUGCCAGCAGCCGCGGUAAUACGAAGGGGGCUAGCGUUGUUCGGAUUUACUGGGCGUAAAGCGCACGUAGGCGGAUCGUUAAGUCGGGGGUGAAAUCCUGGAGCUCAACUCCAGAACUGCCUUCGAUACUGGCGAUCUUGAGUCCGGAAGAGGUGAGUGGAACUCCUAGUGUAGAGGUGGAAUUCGUAGAUAUUAGGAAGAACACCAGUGGCGAAGGCGGCUCACUGGUCCGGUACUGACGCUGAGGUGCGAAAGCGUGGGGAGCAAACAGGAUUAGAUACCCUUGUAGUCC